AGGACGAACGCUGGCGGCGUGCUUAACACAUGCAAGUCGAGCGGAGAAUAUAGCAAUAUAUUCUUAGCGGCGGACGGGUGAGUAACGCGUGGGCAAUCUGCCUCAUACAGGGGGAUAACACUGGGAAACUAGUGCUAAUACCGCAUAAAAUAGUGAAGUGGCAUCACUUUACUAUCAAAGGAGCAAUCCGGUGUGAGAUGAGCCCGCGUCCGAUUAGCUAGUUGGAGGGGUAACGGCCCACCAAGGCGACGAUCGGUAGCCGAACUGAGAGGUUGAUCGGCCACAUUGGGACUGAGACACGGCCCAGACUCCUACGGGAGGCAGCAGUGGGGAAUAUUGCGCAAAUGGGGGAAACCCUGACGCAGCAACGCCGCGUGAAGGAUGAAGGUUUUCGGAUUGUAAACUUCUUUGAUUGGGGACGAUAAUGACGGUACCCAAAAAACAAGCCACGGCUAACUACGUGCCAGCAGCCGC
rnacentral:rRNA from 1 species